rnacentral:rRNA from 1 species
UACGAAGGUGGCAAGCGUUGUUCGGAUUUACUGGGCGUACAGGGAGCGUAGGCGGCUGGAUAAGCCCUCCGUGAAAUCUCCAGGCUUAACCUGGAAAGUGCAGAGGGGACUGUUCAGCUAGAGGAUGGGAGAGGAGCGCGGAAUUCCCGGUGUAGCGGUGAAAUGCGCAGAUAUCAGGAGGAACACCAAUGGCGAAGGCAGCUCGCUGGAACGGUACUGACGCUGAGGCACGAAAGCGUGGGUAGCAAACAGG